rnacentral:rRNA from 1 species
GACGAACGCUGGCGGCGUGCUUAACACAUGCAAGUCGAACGGAAAGGCCCUGCUUGCGUGGGGUGCCCGAGUGGCGAACGGGUGAGUAACACGUGAGUAACCUGCCCUUGACUUUGGGAUAACUUCAGGAAACUGGGGCUAAUACCGGAUAGGAGCUCCUGUUGCAUGGUGGGGGUUGGAAAGUUUCGGCGGUUGGGGAUGGACUGGCGGCUUAUCAGCUUGUUGGUGGGGUAGUGGCUGACCAAGUCUUUGACGGGUAGCCGGCCUGGGAGGGGGGACGGCGACAUGGGGACUAAGGUACGGCCCAGACGCCAACGGUAGGCAGCGGUGGGGAGUAUUGUCCAAUGGGAGGACGCGUGAUGCAGAGACGCUGCGGGCGUGAUGCCGGCCUUCGGGUUGUGAACCGCUUUCGCCUGUGACGAAGCGUGAGUGACGGUAAUGGGUAAAGAAGCACCGGCUAACUACGUG